rnacentral:rRNA from 1 species
AAAGCUCGUAGUCGGAUUUCUGGCUCGGAAGGGCGGUCCGUUCGGCUCAGUCGAAUGUGAACCAGCUCCUUCCGGCCAUCCUCGUGGAGAGCUGUUCCUGCCUUCAUUGGUUUGGUUCAUGCAAUCCACGUCAUUUACUGUGAACAAAUUAGAGUGUUCAAAGCAGGCUUACGCCACUGAAUACAUUAGCAUGGAAUAAUACUAUAGGACUUUGGUGAUUCUAUUGUUGGUUACGCACCAGGGUAAUGAUUAAUAGGGAUAGUUGGGGGUAUUAGUAUUCAAUUGUCAGAGGUGAAAUUCUUGGAUUUAAGAAAGACAAACUACAGCGAAAGCAUUUAUCAAGGAUGUUUUCAUUGAUCAAGAACGAAAGUUGGGGGAUCGAAGAUGAUUAGAUACCAUCGUAGUCUCAACUAUAAACUAUGCCGACUUGGGAUUGGAGGAUGUGAAUUUUUUAUAACACCUUCAGCACCACAUGAGAAAUCAAAGUCUUUGGGUUCCGGGGGGAGUAUGGUCGCAAGGCUGAAACUUAAAGGAAUUGACGGAAGGGCACACAAGUAGUGGAGCCUGCGGCUUAAUUUGACUCAACACGGGAAAACUUACCAGGUCCAGACAUAGUAAGGAU